rnacentral:lncRNA from 1 species
AAUGUGCUCCCCUGGAUGGAGUGGGAGGGUUGGGGUGGGGGAGAACAGGUGUGAGGGGCACACAGGAGAGCAGCCAAAGUCUAACAUUCUUUCUGAGGUCAGUUUCUUCCUGAGUUGCCAAAAGAAAAAGAAAAACAGCAAAUUCUACACAUUUUACAAAAAUAAGCCUAAAAUAUGAAACAAGCUACAUUUCUGGGAUCUCCCCUCAAAAACAAACAAAAACUCCCCUUCUUUAGGGUUUUUUUUCCUUGAUCCCCCUAGACCCUAGGUUUCAGAUGGGUACAGGGGUAACCCUCCUCCCCUCCUCCUCAGCCCAUGGGCCUCCAGAGCUCCUGCAAAGAGCCACUGCAGUCCAAGUAAGAACAGAAGGCAUGAAGAGGCAUUAAAGCUCAGGGACCAAAAGGCGAGGAACGCUGGAAAGCCAGGGAUGGAGACAGAAGCACAGAGGGUGAGGGAGGGAGAGCUGGGGAGGGAGGGGCAGGAGAGAAACAGGGCCAGCAUUGGGGGGAGGGCUGUCAGCGACAAAGCAAAAGGGAGAGAAAACCAAGAGAAUGCAGAGAAUGGGAUGGAGAUAGUGAGGGAGAAGGAGGGUGCCAUUCAGAUAGCGAGGAGACAAAAGGGUUGUGGCAAGAGAGCAGGAGUUCCUAAGGCCCCGGGUGCCAGCCCAUGCCGGAUCUGCCCGGUCCGCCGGGCGGAGAUGGCGAGCUUCCAGUCCACAAUAAAUAGGAAAAACCUGAGUACACGGCGCAUAUGGCAUCUAUCUGCCUGGCAGAAGCAUUUUCCUUACCACGAAAAAAAAAAAAUCCACCAGCAGACCCCCUCCUGUCCUCCAUCCCACAUUCACCACUCUGGCCCCUGCCAGCCGGGUUUAGUCAGCGACAUCCCUCCCACGCGGAGGCGGCGGGGACGGAGGGACGGCGGCUCCCGCGGCCUCCACCGCGCGCCGUCAGUGUCCGGAGCCGUACAUUUUGUCCCACUCCACGAACGAGUCCAGUUCCUUGGCGGAGGCCCUAGGGCCCAUUUUGGACAGCGCUGCCUCCAAGUCCUUGUAGGAGAGGGGCGCUGCAGCCCUGGGAGGCCCGCCCCGGCCGCCGCCUGCUGGCACAGCUGCCCUAGCUCGCCCCCAGAGAAGCCCUGCGUGCCCUGCACCAGCGCCGCCAGUUCCCGCUCACUGAGCGCGCAGCCCUGCUGGGCCAGCGCUCGCUGCAGGAUCUGCCCGCGGGCCGGACUGUCUGGCAGCGCCACGUAGAAGCGGAGAGAGAAGCGCCGGCGGGUCGCCUCGUCUAGAGCCGCGGGCCGCGAGGUGGUGCCCACAACCAGCACGCCGUCAGCCCCAGCGCCGCAGCCCCGUCCAGGCAAGCUAGGAGCGGCACCUGCAGCGCGCCCCUGCCGCCGCGCUGUCGUCCCGGGAGGGAAGCAGCGCAUCCAGCUCGCUGAUGAGGAGUACGGAG